GUCGAACGGAGCACCCCUGAAGGAGUUUUCGGACAACGGAUGGGAAUGCUUAGUGGCGGACGGGUGAGUAACGCGUGGGUAACCUGCCUUACACAGGGGGAUAACACUUAGAAAUAGGUGCUAAUACCGCAUAAGCGCACAGUCCCGCAUGGGACAGAGUGAAAAACAUUAGUGGUGUAAGAUGGACCCGCGUCUGAUUAGCUUGUUGGCGGGGUAACGGCCCACCAAGGCGACGAUCAGUAGCCGGCCUGAGAGGGUGGACGGCCACAUUGGGACUGAGACACGGCCCAAACUCCUACGGGAGGCAGCAGUGGGGGAUAUUGGACAAUGGGGGAAACCCUGAUCCAGCGACGCCGCGUGAGUGAAGAAGUAUUUCGGUAUGUAAAGCUCUAUCAGCAGGGAAGAAAGAAAUGACGGUACCUGAGUAAGAAGCCCCGGCUAACUACGUGCCAGCAGCCGCGGUAAUACGUAGGGGGCAAGCGUUAUCCGGAAUUACUGGGUGUAAAGGGAGCGUAGACGGUAAUGCAAGUCUGGAGUGAAAGGCGGGGGCCCAACCCCCGGACUGCUCUGGAAACUGUGUAACUGGAGUGCAGGAGAGGCAGGCGGAAUUCCUAGUGUAGCGGUGAAAUGCGUAGAUAUUAGGAGGAACACCAGUGGCGAAGGCGGCCUGCUGGACUGUAACUGACGUUGAGGCUCGAAAGCGUGGGGAGCAAACAGGAUUAGAUACCCUGGUAGUCCACGCCGUAAACGAUGAUUACUAGGUGUGGGUGGGUAUGGACCCAUC
rnacentral:rRNA from 1 species